rnacentral:tRNA from 1 species
AAGAAGUUAGUUUAAAAAAGACAAUUAAUUUCGACUUAAUAGAUUGUGAUAACAUCACAACUUCUUC